GAUGAACGCUGGCGGCGUGCCUAACACAUGCAAGUCGAACGGGAACCCUUGGAUUCGUCUGAGGGGGAGAGUGGCGAACGGGUGAGUAACACGUAGGUGACCUGCCCCGAAGAGGGGGAUAACCAUGGGAAACUGUGGCUAAUACCCCAUGUGCUCGGCGAUUCGGUUCGUCGAGUAAAGCUCCUUCGGGGGCGCUUCGGGAGGGGCCUGCGGCCCAUCAGGUAGUUGGUAGGGUAAUGGCCUACCAAGCCGAUGACGGGUAGGGGGCGUGAGAGCGUGACCCCCCACACUGGCACUGGGACACGGGCCAGACUCCUACGGGAGGCAGCAGUGAGGAAUAUUGCACAAUGGGCGAAAGCCUGAUGCAGCAACGCCGCGUGCGCGAUGAAGGCCUUCGGGUUGUAAAGCGCUUUUCUGGGGGACGAGGAGGGACGGUACCCCAGGAAUAAGUCACGGCUAACUACGUGCCAGCAGCCGCGGUAAUACGUAGGUGGCGAGCGUUAUCCGGAUUUACUGGGCGUAAAGCGCGUGCAGGCGGUUUCGUAAGUCGAGCGUGAAAGCUCCCGGCUUAACUGGGAGAGGCCGUUCGAUACUGCGAGACUUGAGGUCGGGAGAGGGACGUGGAAUUCCCGGCGUAGCGGCGAAAUGCGUAGAUAUCGGGAGGAACACCAGUGGCGAAGGCGGCCUCCUGGACCGUUCCUGACGCUCAGGCGCGAAAGCCAGGGGAGCGAACGGGAUUAGAUACCCCGGUAGUCCACGCCGUAAACGGUGGAUACUAGGUGUUGGUGGCUAUCGUCAUCAGUGCCGUAGCUAACGCGUUAAGUAUCCCGCCUGGGAACUACGGCCGCAAGGCUA
rnacentral:rRNA from 1 species